GAACAAGUCAGGGGCAGCAGUCGUAACUGGCCACACGCGCCGGUAAUACGUGUUUUUAAACAGAGCGCGGAGAAAGUGUCACGCCGCGCAAUGACGACGUUGCGAUCAAUCAUAGAAUAGAUGUGUUCUGUCGGUCUGUCACCCACGGUGAUAACCACGUGCAACGCGAAUUAAACUCUGUCUAUACAGCGUGGGCAUCGCGCGGCGCAGAAAAUACGCCGGUAAGAGGCUCCAUGUCAUGGGAGGCUAGCCUGUGUAGACCGGCUGGUUACCCUGUGCUGGGGUAAGGAGGAAAGGGAAUUAAAGGUGAUAGGAGACAUCACAAAAAAAUAAAAGAAAAGAAAAAAAAUGAUCUGCCCAUGAUGGUAUCCAUUGCAUAGCAAUACCACCGUCGAGAACCGACGCAGCUACAAGGUUUUGGUCAUUCGCUAUAGCACGCGAACUGACAUGGUCACAUUGGAAAUUGACGGACUUCAUAAACACUCUUCUUCACAGUUAGGGUCCGCAUCUACAGCUCCAUCUCCCGCCAGAGAUAUCACGAGCCGAAUAAACGGUUAUCUGCCGCCUGUGGCUCGGCGGGGCCUUCACAAACGCCUAUUCAUUUCGCCUCGCAAUACGGCCGACAACCGUAUACAUGCGACGACUGUCCCUGGCUGCGAGGAGACAAUUGCGCUACCUUCUUUGUGAAUGUCGUCGUUUCGGUGCGCCUAGGAGACAACGUUCAACCGCAUUAGACAGACCGGACAAUCGCCCUUUGUCAGAGACCAGAAUCCUCGGACAGUGGUCGAGAACGUCCUCGGCACAGAAGGAGUUGAACGCGUUGUGACGCUUUUUGGGAAGUGGCCUUAGUGACAGAUCGACUAUGAGAAGUGUUGCACCCCAUGCACAUCGCAACCACGUAGUAUUUUUUUCCCCUUUUAUUAUUUUUUUAACGUGAUAGAACCACGAUAAGGCAUGCCGUAGUGAGGGACUCCGGAUUAAUUUUUACCACCUGGCGUUCUUUAACGUGCACCCAGUGCCAGGAGCGACGUUUAUUGAGGUUUAUUGAGCGCGACAACAUGGCUGCUCAACUCGAUCCAGUACUAUAUCCAUUGAUUGAAUUGCAGACCCUCCCUAAUUUUUAACAAUAUCGCGCGAGCGUCGACUGCUGCACGGCAUUUCAGCGCCUGAUAACGGAGAGCAGCGACGAGAUCGAAGACAGAAUGCACAUGCGCGCAAGGCAUAGCCCAGCGUCGUUUGCUACGCUGUUCACUUCAGGAGGACACACACCUUGGCAGUGCUAUCUGCGCGUUGAAGCUAAACGCGAUAAAUAAGGGGAAAAAAAAGAUUUUUACAGAGCAACGCGGACAGCUAAUUCGAAUAGCUGGUGAGUUUGACAUACGCGCGCUUAUCCGCAUCCAACGGCCAACGCCUGCCACAGGAUGCAGCCAUCGUAUAACGCCUUCGAAUCCGGUUCGCACGCGGCCGCGGCAGCCAGAGAUGAAGCUCACGAUUACGCAUACAGAGCGGUGACCGCCGAGACACUCGCUUAUCGGAGGUGACAUCGCGGUUGUUAUCAUCGGGAGCAUAUACUGUAAGUACGUGACGCUUCGACAAAUUCAGGAUCACUCGGCACCACUUGUAGCACGACUAGACGGGAAAUGCGACACGGUAAUCGGAAAGCGUGAGCUGGAAACCUGAACACGCGCACUUCCUGAGGCGGUCCUACCGCUCGUUCCUGCUGCUGGUGCUGCUG